AUGAGGAUCUACUCCCGGACUACUACCUUUAGUGUCAUCGAUGUGACAGUUGAAGAACGGGAUGGAAGAGAAUGGAGACUCUCGGACAUUUAUGGGGAACCCGACUGGGAUAAUAAGGACCGUACGUACCACCUGCUAUGGGACUUGCAUGCUCAAUUUGGCCUCCCGUGGGUUGCCAUUGGCGAUUUCAAUGAGAUAUUACUCUCUACAGAGAAGGAGGGUGGAGCGCCGCGACAACAGGCGAGACUCCAAGAUUUCCAAGAUGCGUUGUCUGAUUGCUCUUUGGAGGACAUAGGAUACCAUGGCGAUAAAUUCACAUGGUUCCGAGGUGGUCCGAGGGGACACUUAGAUUGGGUUGUCUCUAACGCAGAAUGGAUGGAAAUGCACCCCUUGUGUGGAAUGUGCAAUCUUGAUAUGGGGAAAUCGGAUCAUAGGUCGAUA
rnacentral:rRNA from 1 species